rnacentral:rRNA from 1 species
CCUACGGGAGGCAGCAGUGGGGAAUAUUGGACAAUGGGCGCAAGCCUGAUCUAGCCAUGCCGCGUGAGUGAUGAAGGCCUUAGGGUUGUAAAGCUCUUUUGUCCGGGACGAUAAUGACGGUACCGGAAGAAUAAGCCCCGGCUAACUUCGUGCCAGCAGCCGCGGUAAU